AUUGAACGCUGGCGGCAGGCCUAACACAUGCAAGUCGAGCGGAUGAAGGGAGCUUGCUCCUGGAUUCAGCGGCGGACGGGUGAGUAAUGCCUAGGAAUCUGCCUGGUAGUUUGGGAUAACGUCCGGAAACGGGCGCUAAUACCGCAUACGUCCUGAGGGAGAAAGUGGGGGAUCUUCGGACCUCACGCUAUCAGAUGAGCCUAGGUCGGAUUAGCUAGUUGGUGGGGUAAAGGCCUACCAAGGCGACGAUCCGUAACUGGUCUGAGAGGAUGAUCAGUCACACUGGAACUGAGACACGGUCCAGACUCCUACGGGAGGCAGCAGUGGGGAAUAUUGGACAAUGGGCGAAAGCCUGAUCCAGCCAUGCCGCGUGUGUGAAGAAGGUCUUCGGAUUGUAAAGCACUUUAAGUUGGGAGGAAGGGCAGUAAGUUAAUACCUUGCUGUUUUGACGUUACCAACAGAAUAAGCACCGGCUAACUUCGUG
rnacentral:rRNA from 1 species